UUGUCAGUGGCAAGGUUAACCGUAUAGGGGAGCCGUAGAGAAAUCGAGUCUUAAUAGGGCGUUUAGUCGCUGGCAAUAGACCCGAAACCGAGCGAUCUAUCCAUGGGCAGGUUGAAGGUGCCGUAACAGGCACUGGAGGACCGAACCGUAAUCUGUUGAAAAAGAUUCGGAUGACCUGUGGAUCGGAGUGAAAGGCUAAUCAAGCUCGGAGAUAGCUGGUUCUCCCCGAAAGCUAUUUAGGUAGCGCGUCAUAUCUCACCCUCGGGGGUAGAGCACUGUUUGGGCUAGGGGGUCAUCCCGACUUACCAACCCCAUGCAAACUCCGAAUACCGAGGAGUGCAAUUAUGGCAGACACACGGCGGGUGCUAACGUCCGUCGUGAAGAGGGAAACAACCCAGACCGCCAGCUAAGGUCCCAAAUAUCAGUUAAGUGGGAAACGAUGUGGGAAGGCUUAGACAGCUAGGAGGUUGGCUUAGAAGCAGCCAUCCUUUAAAGAAAGCGUAAUAGCUCACUAGUCGAGUCGGCCUGCGCGGAAGAUUUAACGGGAC
rnacentral:rRNA from 1 species